AAUAGAACAUGGAGAAAGUGUUGUGAUGUCACUUCCAAGGUUAGGAUAUAAAGACCGUGCAAUCUUGGAUUGCUCUCUUGCUCUCUAUUUGCUCUACAGGGAGCCAACUGCCAUACUGUGAGCACCUCUAUGUAGAGGCCCAUGUGACAAGGAAUUGACUUCCCCAGCCAGCAGCUAAUGGGGACAUGAGGACUGCAAACAGCCCCAUGAGUGAGCUUGCAGCUGGAUCCUUUCCCAACGAACCUUGAGGUGACUGAAGCUUCAGCUACACUGUGAUCAAAGCCUUGUGAGAUCCAGAGCCAGAGGAGUCCAGCUAAGUGGCACCUGAUUCCAAAUCUGAGAAACUCUGAGAAAUAAAUGCCUGUCUUUCUAAGAUGAGGUGUUUUAUUAUGCAGCAAAAGAUGACUAAUACAGAUUUUAUCCCUGAAUACAAGCUUUUUAAGAGGAUGAAAAAAAAUGUUUUUAAUAUAGUUUUUAAACAUUAAGAGUAGUUUUCAUCCUGUUUAUAAUUAUCGAGUAAUUAUAAACAGCCCACUACAGUUUCAUUAAGUCUUUAUUCUACAGAGAUUUUUUUUUGUCUGAUUCUGUGCAAGGGCAUGCAUGAGGUAUGGAGAUUAAAAAGAGAGGGGGGUGGGAUAAGCAACAAGAUCCUACCAUAUAACACAGAGAACUAUAUUCAAUGUCCUAUGAUAAACCGUAAUGAAAGAGUAUUUUUUUAAAGUGUGUAUAUAUACAUUGUAAAUCAACUAUACUUCAAUAAAAACAGACAGAAAGAGAAAGAGAGAAGUCAAAUCCCCUGAUUUCUAAGCACAGACAUCCCCUGAGGAAGUGACACAGAAUAGUAGAGGGUGACAUGGACCGUGAUGAAAUCAAGUCCAAGGAAGAAUAGGAACCCAGGGGCAGUAGGAGUUCCUGAGGCCCACUGGGUUGUCACUAAGAGGAUGGACUUGACUCGGGACUCAGUGAUGCAAAAACACAUCAAAUUGGCUUAUGCUCAAUAACUAAAAGGUCCAACAAAUGUCACACUGGCUUCCUGCACAGCUAGAUUUAGGGGAGCUCAAAUGAUGUUACAGCGACCCAGUGGCCCCCUCUCAGUCCCUCAGCUCUCUUUCCUCUAUUUUGACUCCAUUUCAAGCAGAUUAUUUAUCAAGGGCUUGAGCUGAUCCACCAGGUGUCAAAGUAACUGAUCAAGACAGCAUGGCAAGUUGAAAGUAACAAUUAAGCCUUUAUUUACUUAUGGCUAUGGUAGAGGGAAGGGGCUAAAGCCCUGGCCCCCCAUCAUUCCAUUUUCUCCAUGGAAAAGCAUGGGUGGAGGGUGGGAAACAGAUGUAUCAGCACAGGUGGGAAGAAUUGUCUUAUUGCUAAGGGAGCUAGCAAUAGGCUCCUGUCUUUCUAUGGAUCUGCGGUGAGGGGAGUGGGGAGACCCAGGAGGAGAAAUAUCCUGAGUACUGAGUCAGAGUGGAGAAAGUAUCUGCAAGUUCCCACCACUUCCCAUAAUUAGAUCUCAGCCAAGUCCUCCACAUACCCCAGGUAAAAAGCCUCCAACGCAGAUACCUGGGCCAGGAAUGCAGACAUGCCUAAGAACAAUUUGGCCAUGGGGCCCAGUCCUUGCCUGCAAUUUCCUUCAGAGUCUACCAUGCAUUGCCGGGUGUGGGGAGGGCAGCUUUCCCCAGUGAGGUCUGCCAGGUAAAGUGUCAUGGACUAAAUGUUUGUGUCCCCCCAACCAAAUUCCUAUACUGAAGCCCUGACUCCCAACGUGAUAAUAUUUGGGAAUUAAUGAAAGUUAGACCAGGACAUGAGGGUGGGGCCCCACAAUGGGAUUAGUGUCCUUAUAAGAAGAGGACGAGGCUCCAGGGCUCUGCCUCUCUCUGCACAUAUAUGCAAAUACACAAGGAGGUCAGGUGAGCACACAGGGAGACAGCAGCUGUCUACAGGCCAGGAAGCAAUCCUGCCCAAGAUCAGAAUCUGCCAGCACCUUGAUCUUGGACUUCUCAGCCUGCAGAGCUAUGAGAACAAGUGUAUGUUGUUCAAUCCACCCAGUCUGUGGUAUUCUAUUUUAGCAGCUAGAGUUGACCUAAAGCCUUUGUAAUUGCCUAUGGUCAGGCCUGAAAGCUCAGACAGGUUUUGGCCAGGAGCUGACCCCCUGCUCUUCCUGUUGGUUGUGAGAUGACUAUCAGCAGCUCUAGACUGACAGAAAUACCCAGUGGAAAGAGAGCGCUCUGUCUUAGCAGUUCCAGCAGAAACUCUGAGCCUGACUCUGGUGAGACUAACUUGGGUUCUAUACCCAUCCCAGAAGCAAAGACGGUGGCCAAGUGGAUGGAAAUAACAAAUUGAUUUGGAUCUGAACCUGGGGGUUAAGGGCAGGACUUUCCCAAACUACUUAAACUGAGAGUGAAGGGAGGACAUUUAUACCAGAAGUGGAAGCAGAUCCUAGGUAAGCAAAACCCAUAGACACCCACUCUACAGUGCCUGAAAGUGAAAGGAUUUCUUUCUUUAUCCAUUUAAUAAAUGUACACUGAACUAUGUGCCAGGCACUGCUUUAGGCCCUGGAAGACAGUAGCAAACAACAGCAUCAAGCUUAAAUUCUACUGGGGGUGAUAGAUAAUAAACACCAGCAGCAGGUGAUAUAAAGCCUCUUAGAUUAUGAUAAGGGCUGGGGGGGAGUGGGCGGUGAAAGCAAGAAAGGAAGGUAGGAGAUGUGCUUUUGAGGGAGGGGUACCCAAAAAGGCCUUGCUGAAGGCAGAUAGAAAUUGUGCAUCCCAGAGAAUAGGAAAAGUUCAAAGCAGAGGGAACAGCCAAGACAAAGCAUGCUCCCUGAGAUGGAAGCAUGCUAGUUGUGUUCAUAGUUGUAUACAGGUUGAAAAUGAAAUGCCCAGUUAAAUUUGAAUUUCAGAUAAACAAUACAUACAUCUUUUAGCCUAAGUACAUUCCCAAUACCAAAUGGGACAUAGUUAUGCUUAAAAAUAUUUUGUUUCAUGUAACAUUUGGAACAUAUUGACACUAAAAAUGUAUUUGCUGUUUAUCUGAAAUUCAAAUCUAGCUGGGAGUCCUGUAUUUUCAUUCGCUAAAUCUAACAUCUCUAGGCCAGUGUGACUGAAGCAGAAUGAAGAAGCAGGAGAGGGUGUUAUGGGUUGCAUUAUGUCCCCUCAAAGAAAAUAUUCUGAAGUCCUCACCCCCAAUACCCUAGAAUGUGACCUUAUUUGGUAAUAGGGUCAUUCCUGAUGUAAUUAGUUAAGAUGAGCCACACUGGAACAGGGUGGGGCCUGAUCCAAGAUGACUGCUGUCCUUAUUAGAGGGCCAUGUGACAACACAGAGUCACACAGGGAGAGGGCCAUGUGUUGACAGAGGCAGAGAUUAAAGAGCUGCAGCUGCAAGGCAACACAUGCUAAAAAUAGCCACAACCACCAGAAGCUAGAAAGAGGCAAGAAAGGAUCCUUCCCCUUCAUGGCCCUGCCGACACCUUGAUUUUGGACUUCUAGCUCUAAGAACCACGAAAAAAUAAGUUUCUGUUGUUUUAAGCCACCCAGUUUGUAGUGCUUUGUUACAGCUGCCCUGGCAAAGUGACAGAAGAGAGCAGCCAAAGACAAGGGCAGAGAGAAAAUCUUCUCAGACCACCCUGAGCCAGUAAGGAUCUGCUUCAUCUCCAGGUUCUGAUAAUGCUUAUGGCUGGUACCUCAAAAUCCAGUUCUCAAUUCAACAAACAUAUGCCAGGGCCAGGAAUGGCUUAUUGGAGGGGCUUAUUUACUAAGGGUCAAUACAAAUAAAACAUGGUUUCU